rnacentral:rRNA from 1 species
UACGAGUGCCCCAAGCGUUAUCCGUAAUCACUGGGCGUAAAGCGUGUGUAGGUGGUCUUGUUAGUCUUCUGUUAAAUUCUUCGGCUCAACCGGGGGCAUGCAGAGGAAACGGCAAGACUUGAGGGUGCGAGAGGUGUACGGAACUCAUGGAGUAGGGGUGAAAUCCGUUGAUAUCAUGGGGAACACCGAAAGCGAAGGCAGUACACUGGCGCAUUCCUGACACUCAAACACGAAAGCGUGGGUAGCGAAUGGG